rnacentral:rRNA from 1 species
GUUUGAUCCUGGCUCAGGACGAACGCUGGCGGCGUGCCUAAUACAUGCAAGUCGAGCGAAUGAUAGGGAGCUUGCUCCCUUGAUUUAGCGGCGGACGGGUGAGUAACACGUGGGCAACCUACCUGUAAGACUGGGAUAACUUCGGGAAACCGGAGCUAAUACCGGAUAAUUUCUUUUCUCGCAUGAGAAGAGAUGGAAAGACGGUUUCGGCUGUCACUUACAGAUGGGCCCGCGGCGCAUUAGCUAGUUGGUGAGGUAAUGGCUCACCAAGGCCACGAUGCGUAGCCGACCUGAGAGGGUGAUCGGCCACACUGGGACUGAGACACGGCCCAGACUCCUACGGAAGGCAGCAGUAGGGAAUCUUCCGCAAUGGACGAAAGUCUGACGGAGCAACGCCGCGUGAACGAAGAAGGCUCUCGGGUCGUAAAGUUCUGUUGUUAGGGAAGAACAAGUACCAGAGUAACUGCUGGUACCUUGACGGUACCUAACCAGAAAGCCACGGCUAACUACGUGCCAGCAGCCGCGGUAAUCCCUUGUGUGAA